UACGUAGGGUGCAAGCGUUAAUCGGAAUACUGGGCGUAAAGCGUGCGCAGGCGGUAAUGUAAGACAGAUGUGAAAUCCCCGGGCUCAACCUGGGAACUGCAUUUGUGACUGCAUUGCUGGAGUGCGGCAGAGGGGGAUGGAAUUCCGCGUGUAGCAGUGAAAUGCGUAGAUAUGCGGAGGAACACCGAUGGCGAAGGCAAUCCCCUGGGCCUGCACUGACGCUCAUGCCACGAAAGCGUGGGGAGCAAACAGGAUAGAUACCCAGU
rnacentral:rRNA from 1 species